AUUGAACGCUGGCGGCAUGCUUUACACAUGCAAGUCGGACGGCAGCACAGAGAAGCUUGCUUCUUGGGUGGCGAGUGGCGAACGGGUGAGUAACAUAUCGGAACGUACCGAGCAGUGGGGGAUAACUAAUCGAAAGAUUAGCUAAUACCGCAUAUUUUCUGAGGAAGAAAGCAGGGGACCUUUGGGCCUUGCGCUGUUUGAGCGGCCGAUAUCUGAUUAGCUAGUUGGUGGGGUAAAGGCCUACCAAGGCGACGAUCAGUAGCGGGUCUGAGAGGAUGAUCCGCCACACAGGGACUGGGAAACGGCCCAGACUACUAGGGGAGGCAGCGGGGGGGAAUUUUGGACAAUGGGCGGAAGCCUGAUCCAGCCAUGCCGGGUUGCUGAAGAAGGCCUUCGGGUUGUAAAGGAAUUUUGUAGGGGAAGAAAGGGGGGGGGUUAAAACCCCUUUAGGAUGACGGGACCUGAAGAAUAAACCCCGGCUAAAUACGU
rnacentral:rRNA from 1 species